rnacentral:lncRNA from 1 species
AUGAAGUUUGUUUUCUGAGGCAUUUUUUAUAGUAAUACCAAGAUACCUACUAUAGGCUGCUGUAGGAGACCGUGACUGACCUCCAUUGUGUAUUAGUAGCCGUCUUACGCGCCUUUCCUUUUAAGUCAGGACUGCCUAUCGUUGCCUAGCUACUACCGUUACCUAGUUACUCCCGCCUUUGUCGGGUUAUUUGGUUAUUCCCGCCUUAGAACUUCCGCGUUUCUCCGUGCCGUAUAUAAGCACGGCACUUCCUGCUAAUAAACGAGGCUUGAUCAGAAUCUUGUCUUGCCUCCAUUCUUCGUGUCUCUUGUCCCUUUAUAAUCCCCACUCCCCUUCUAGGGUCCUCGUUGACUGUACCCGCAGGCUGGGUCAGGCUGCCAUCUACACACGUAUUUUUCCAGCAAGAUAUAUUCUUCUCCUAGGAAGCCCCUGAUCUCUUACUCUGUCCUUUGGCUACCGUGAUAUAUUUUUUUGAAACCUUGACACAUUUUGAGUUUCUUAACUCAGCUGAGACAGAUAAAACCUUCUUUCUCCUGGCUCAGAGAAGAAACAAGCUCUCAAUCACUUUUGAGUUUUGGGGGUCACUGUGCUUGCAGAAGGGAGCAAUAAAGAGGAGUUGCAUGGAGGCUGCAGGCUACAAGUGGAUCACAUACUCUGAAAAUAAGUUUUUGCCUCCAAUUGCCUGGGUUAGACAUGCGGUUAUACAAAUGUCUGGGUGUGUCCAUGGAUUUAAAAAGAGAAAGUUGAGUUUUCCAAACUGCUGCCUCCCUACUGCUUUUGUUCUUUGUUCUAAUACAGAUAAAAGCAUCAACUUUUGCCUUUUAUUCUCUUGUAUUUCCUCACAAAGAUGGAAUAACUUGCGAGCUACAUGUGGAUGGCCAUAA